rnacentral:rRNA from 1 species
GGGCCCAGGGCAGACGCGUGCGGGAGAGGCCUGUGGGUUGUAAACCGCUUUUGAUAGGGAAGAAGCUCUGACGGUACCUAUCGAAUCAGCCUCGGCUAACUCCGUGCCAGCAGCCGCGGUAAUACGGAGGAGGCAAGCGUUAUCCGGAAUUAUUGGGCGUAAAGCGUCCGUAGGUGGUUGUUCAAGUCUUCUGUCAAAGCGCGGAGCUUAACUCCGUAAAGGCAGAGGAAACUGAGCGGCUAGAGUGCGAUAGGGGCAAGGGGAAUUCCCAGUGUAGCGGUGAAAUGCGUAGAUAUUGGAAGAACACCGGUGGCGAAAGCGCCUUGCUGGGUCUGCACUGACACUGAGGACGAAAGACAGG